rnacentral:rRNA from 1 species
UACGAAGGGUGCAAGCGUUAAUCGGAAUUACUGGGCGUAAAGCGUGCGCAGGCGGUUUGUUAAGUCUGUUGUGAAAUCCCCGAGCUCAACUUGGGAAUUGCAAUGGAUACUGGCAGGCUGGAGUAUGGUAGAGGAAGGUGGAAUUCCCGGUGUAGCAGUGAAAUGCGUAGAGAUCGGGAGGAACACCAGUGGCGAAGGCGGCCCUCUGGACCAAUACUGACGCUCAUGCACGAAAGCGUGGGGAGCAAACAGG